rnacentral:lncRNA from 1 species
ACUGUUCUAAAAUUAAAAAGAAGAGCUGUAGAUUUUGCAUAUACAUGACCUACAUAUUUCAUAAAUUCUUAAAUCACUGUUCUAAAAUUAAAAAGAAGAGCUGUAGAUUUUGCAUAUACAUGACCUACAUAUUUCAUAAAUGUGUCACUGGGUGCUGGAGAUGGAGCCAGUGCUGUUUCAAAAAAGAUGAAUGAGCAUGUGAGAUUGUGAAUCAUCUGUCUCAUAAUAUAAUGUUUCUACUCCCAACUAGUCUCAAGUCCUACCCAACACAAGCAUAUGGGGAUCGACAUGCAUGUGCUUCUGACCACUCUUCACCCACUAAACAAUUCCAAACCCCAUUAAUUCUCUUUAUUCAAGAACCUCUUAGCUACAUUCAUCUGUCACCACCAUUAAAUAAUACCUGUAUAUCUGUACAUAUGUACACAGAUUCUGUGUCCAUAAAUAUAUGGUGAUGAAUGAAUACACCCAUCAAUAGGGAUGGCAAUCGGGUCGGAUUGGAUCGGAUAUGACUAUAUCCAUAUCCAAACCCGAAAUUUUAUACUGUACCCGAACCCGAUCCGAACCCGAAAAUUACCCGAAAACUGAUAUCCAAAUCCGAUCCAACGGAUUUCGGAUCGGAUUCGGGUAUACCCGAAACCCGAUUUUAUUUGGAUUUGAUUUGGAUAUAACUGAAAUCCGAUAACCAAAACCCGAAACCCGAAAUCCGAUACCCGAAAAUCCGAAAAAACAAAAUUAAAUUAAUAAUUUGAUUGUAGCUCCAGUGUUGAAGAUGGUUCAGAUUGUUGUUCUGGAAUGGACUGAGAAUUAGGAGCCGUCUGAGAGUUAGGAGCCGAUUGUGAAGUCGACAUGACUGCGUACAGUAUAUAGCAAGUAUUAAUCAACCGAAACAAUCAAAUAGGGAAGAAUAAUAAUGCUAUUCUAGGUUUUAUAUGAUUGAUUGAAUUUAAAUCGCAUAUACUAGGUUUUCAUUACAAACGAAUCAACUGAUUAUACAUAAAAUUUACCGAAGAUAGAAACUUACCAGCAAAUAGAUUUAAUUCUGAUUCGGUGAUUCUCGGUGAUACUCCAGAUCUUGGAUUCUUGGUGUGAUAAUGGGGUUUGGGGGCGCCGCAGCUCUAAG